CUCCUCUUCUGCGGCCGAGCCUGUCUCACGAUUUUCUAGAGAAAGCCGAACGGCCGCGCGGGGUACUUUCCCGCAGGAAAAACCUGUAGAGAAUAAUUCGCUGUCAUUCAAGGUAAACCAUGGCAGCUGUUUGAGCAGCAACGGGGACUGCUGAAACCCAUCCAGCUGGUACUCUGCGAGUCAGACUCAUCGCUUGCAAGGCCUCCCUGUGACAGCUCCCAUAUUUUGACAUCAUUCAUAUACUUUCUUGCUUUGUGGGACUCAAUUUAUGACUGAAAAGUGAUGAUCAAAGAAAGGCUAGGCAUCUCUUCAAACAUGCCAAAGGAGAGUUAGAAGAUGCCCGAAUGUUGUGCCUAGUCAUGGAUAUUUCAAGAGAUUUAAGGCUUCUGCUGGGAUUCAGAAUGUAAGUGGGAUGCUAUGUUUACACUUUUUAUGCUUAUCGUUGUAGAAUCCAAAAGCAUUUUCGAUUUUUACCAAGUUUGGGUUCUGUAGGCAUUCCCGGGAAGAAAAGAUGGCACAUUGGAGAGCAUCUUUUGCUGUUUUUGUCCCUGUGACAGCUGUCAGCGUGGGGUAUCUGUGGCACGGCCCCUGGUGGCCAAGCACAGGGCCACUGUUCUCCUCAGACUUGGUGGGGACUGUUAAAAAGGUUCUUACCAGAGGAGGGCGUGGUCAUCCUGGGAAAUCUCUGAGUCAAACCAGACAGUUCCAUACUCUUCCAUACUCCUUUCCUCGGUAGGAUCAAAAUCUAUCAUGACUGUCCAAAAUAUCUAGUUUGGUUUCUAGGCGUAGGAACCUAAGCCCUAAGGGCUUAACUUGUUCCAGGCUAAGGGAUAGACAGCAAGGCAAAAAGGAACCCAGAAAUUGGUUAGAUCACAGGGAAGGUUAGGAAGGAUCAAGAAGCAUUGCUGAGGAAUCACUGCAGGACUCAGUCUGGGCACCACAACUCACACAGGCUCCUGAGGAACAUGAGGUCAAGACCUAAGGUGGAAGGAGGAGCUGAACUUAAAACACUGUGCUUAUGGGGGCACCUGGGUGGCUCAGUCGGUUAAGCAUCUGACUUCAGCUCAGGUCAUGAUCUCACUCACUUCCUGUGAGUUUGAGCCCCGCAUCGGGCUCUGUGCUGGCAGCUCAGAGCCUGGAGCCUGCUUCAGAUUCCGUGUCUCCCUCUCUCUCUGCCCCACCCCUGCUCACGCUCUGUCUCUGUCUCUCUCAAAAAUAAAUACACAUUACAAAAAUUAAAACAACAACAGCAACACCAACACUGUGCUUAUGAAAAGCUAGUAACUGGACUUCAUAUGGGAGAUUUAGACCCAAGGUUGUGGUAACAUUGCCGUCUCCACCCUAGUCUCUUGUUGAAACCAUUCCUCAGCUGUGCUUCUGGAACCUGGCCUUAGGAGAAAGGCCACACUGACAGCAGCAUGCUCAGGGACAAGCUCAUCUUGAGCACCCCAGAAUAUAAGAGACAUAGGUAUUUACUCAGGAAAUUAAAGGUACAGCAGGGAUCUCACUGCUGGGGUUCAGAUAUCUCUAAGAAGGUCUGGGGACUUGUGGGCAGCCCCCAAACCAGGCUAUUUACAAGAGUUGGUCUUCUCUUUAUGCCCUGGGAGCCUGAUAUAACCAUCUGGCCCAGGAACAAAGCCUCAGUUGUGUGCAGGCAUGGUGUGAUUCUGAGAACAAUGUGGGAUUGGAGCUUGUCCUCAGCUCAACCUGCGAUGGGUGGUAGGAAAAGAGAAAGGCACACACGGAAGGAAAGAUGGGUUUUGUGGAGCCUGUGCAUUUCCCCCUUCUUACUACAGACCAGGCACAGCCUGUCAGACAGCAGAGAUAGUGCAAAAUAGAGGCAGCACCCAGGGAGCAGAAUUAUUCAUGAACAUAGGAGAUGUACCAUGAAGACUCCCAUAUGUUCCAGUAGGGAUCAAUUUGCAGGUAAUGAGCCAGUGACCUAUUCAUGUGACCUUAUUCAUAAGCUAGGGGGAUCUGCCCCACGGUACUCAGAGCAAUUGCAGAGAUAAGGUCUUUCUGGGAAAAAAUAUGGUAUUUUUUGGAAAUGAGUAAACUAUAAGAUAUCUUCUAUACUCAGAUGGCUGCUCUGCCUGCAUCUAGUUGAUUAUUUUCUGAGCUCUUCUCCAUGCAAGAAACAGGCGUCUCCUGAUUGCAAGCUGAACUUCAUUUAGGACAGUGUCCCCCCAUCAAUCCCCCACCCCCCACUACCCUUCAUUUAUGAAGAAAGAGUUGACUGACUAGUUAACUCUCUGACUUCCUAAGCAAAUAAUGA